rnacentral:pre_miRNA from 1 species
CUUGUACUCCCUCCAUCCGAAAAUACUUGUCAUUGAAAUGGAUGUAUCUAGAUGUAUUUUAGUUCUAGACACAUCCAUUUUGAUGACAAGUAAUUCCGUACGGAGGGAGUACUUG